AUUGAACGCUGGCGGCAUGCUUUACACAUGCAAGUCGAACGGCAGCGCGGGCUUCGGCCUGGCGGCGAGUGGCGAACGGGUGAGUAAUACAUCGGAACGUGCCCAGUCGUGGGGUAUAGCUCGGCGAACGCCGGGUUAAUACCGCAUACGACCUGAGGGUGAAAGCGGGGGAUCUUCGGACCCCGCGCUAUUGGAGCGGCCGAUGGCAGAUUAGCUAGUUGGUGGGGUAAAGGCCUACCAAGGCGACGAUCGGUAGCUGGUCUGAGAGGACGACCAGCCACACUGGGACUGAGACACGGCCCAGACUCCUACGGGAGGCAGCAGUGGGGAAUUUUGGACAAUGGGCGAAAGCCUGAUCCAGCAAUGCCGCGUGUGUGAUGAAGGCCUUCGGGUUGUAAAGCACUUUUGGCGGGAACGAAAAGGACUGUGCCAAUACCACGGUUCGAUGACGGUACCCGCAGAAUAAGCACCGGCUAACUACGUG
rnacentral:rRNA from 1 species